rnacentral:misc_RNA from 1 species
GUUUGGUUUGCGUGAGGGGGUGCAGCGGCAUCCUUUGCGGCGCAGCCGCAAAGAUAAAGCGGAACACCCGACGGCGG